rnacentral:misc_RNA from 1 species
GAACGCACCUUGCGCCCUUUGGCUAUUCCGAAGGGCAUGCCUGUUUGAGUAUCAUGAACACCUCAACUCUCAUGGUUUGCCGUGAUGAGCUUGGACUUUGGGGGUCUUGCCGGCCUGUGGUCAGCUCCUCUCAAAUGGAUCAGCUUACCAGUAUUUGGUGGCGUCACAGGUGUGAUAACUAUCUACGCUUGUGGUUGUCUGCCGAGUAACCUUUGGUGACAGAGGUUUGCUGGAGCUUAUAAAUGUCUUUCCUCAGUGAAGACAGCUUUUUGACCGUUCGAUCUCAAAUCAGGUAGGACUACCCGCUGAACUUAAG